GUCCAAGUGGACAAGGGCGCACGGGGGAUGCCUUGGCUCCGGGAGGCGAAGAAGGACGUGCCAAGCUGCGAUAAGCUGUGGGGAUCGGCACAGGCGAAUUGAUCCACAGGUUUCCGAAUGGGGCAACCCACCCCGAUUUGUCGGGGUAUAUCGAGAGAUAGGCGAACCCGCCGAACUGAAACAUCUAAGUAGGCGGAGGAAGAGAAAACAACAGUGAUUCCGUGAGUAGUGGCGAGCGAAAGCGGAAGGGCCCAAACCGUGUCUGUUACGGCAGGCGCGGGGUUAUAGGACCUGCAGAAGGGCGUACAACGCGACGUGAACCGUCUGGGAAGUCGGACCGUAGGGGGUGAUAGUCCCGUAACGGAAGCGUUGUUUGCCUGGCGGGUAUCCUGAGUAGGCCGGGACAGGGGAAAUCCCGGUUGAAUUUGCCGGCACCAUCCGGUAAGGCUAAAUACUCCCCGGAGACCGAUAGUGUACCAGUACCGUGAGGGAAAGGUGAAAAGUACCGUGAAUAACGGGGUGAAAUAGAACCUGAAACCGUGCGCCUACAAGCGGUCGGAGUCCCGAUGAAUGUCGGGAUGACGGCGUGCCUUUUGCAUAAUGAGCCUACGAGUUACUCCUCGCCGGCGAGGUUAACCCCGUUGACGGGGGCAGCCGCAGCGAAAGCGAGUCCGAACAGGGCGUUGUAGUCGGCGGGGGUAGACGCGAAACCCGGUGAUCUACCCAUGGCCAGGCUGAAGCUCCGGUAAAACGGAGUGGAGGGCCGAACCGAUAAGCGUUGAAAAGCUUCCGGAUGAGCCGUGGGUAGGGGUGAAAGGCCAAUCAAACCGGGAAAUAGCUCGUACUCCCCGAAAUGUUUUUAGGAACAGCGUCGGGCAACGUAUGGCGGAGGUAGAGCUACCGAUAGGACUAGGGGGAGUCACAUCCUACCAAAUCCUGACGAACUCCGAAUGCCGCCAUAUGGUACCGGCAGUGAGGGCUGGGGUGCUAAGGUCCCAGUCCGAGAGGGAAAGAACCCGGACCUACCGCUAAGGUCCCGAAAUCCGCGCUAAGUUGAACAAAGGCGGUCCAGCUGCAGAGACAGCCAGGAGGUUAGCUUGGAAGCAGCUAUUCCUUUAAAGAGUGCGUAACAGCUCACUGGUCGAGCGGCAGGGCGUCGAUAAUAAUCGGGCAUCAAGCGCGGUGCCGAAGCGUAGGAUGUCCCGCAGUGGCGGGACGUGGUAGGGGAGCAUUCCAACGGCGGAGAAGGUGCACGGCGAUGUGCGCUGGAGCUUUUGGAAAAGCAAAUGUAGGCAUAAGUAACGAUAAUGGGGGCGGGAAACCCCCACACCGAUAGACCAAGGUUUCCUGAUCAACGCUAAUCGGAUCAGGGUCAGUCGGGCCCUAAGGAUAACCCGUUGGGGGAUUCCGAUGGAAAAUGGGUUAAUAUUCCCAUACUGCGCAUGCAGGUGACGGAGUGACGGGGCGGUGGAAGGACCGCGCGGUGACGGAAUACCGCGUUGAAGGGAGUAGGUAUUGGUACCGGUGUCAAAUGCACGGGACCAGCCGAACCUGACAGUACCGCGACCCUUCGGGGGAGCGGAAAGAGUCCCUAAUAGCCUCCGAGAAAAACUUCUGGCGUUAAGCGCAUGCGCACCCGUACCGCAAACCGACACAGGUGGUCAAGGAGAGAAUCCUGAGGUGCUCGAGUGAAUCAUGGCUAAGGAACUCGGCAAAAUGGCCCUGUAACUUCGGGAGAAGGGGCGCCCCUGUAACAGGGGGCCGCAGUGAAAAGGCCCAGGCGACUGUUUAUCAAAAACACAUGGCUUUGCGAACUCGAAAGAGGAGGUAUAAGGCCUGACACCUGCCCGGUGCCGGAAGGUUAAGAGGGGAUGUUAGCGCAAGCGAAGCAUUGAAUUGAAGCCCCGGUAAACGGCGGCCGUAACUAUAACGGUCCUAAGGUAGCGAAAUUCCUUGUCGGGUAAGUUCCGACCUGCACGAAUGGUGUAACGAUCUGGGCGCUGUCUCGGCCAUGAGCUCGGUGAAAUUGUAGUCGCGGUGAAGAUGCCGCGUACCCGCAACGGGACGGAAAGACCCCAUGCACCUUUACUGCAGCUUAACAUUGGCAUCGGGUACACGAUGUGUAGGAUAGGCCGGAGGCUACGAAGCGGGACCGCCAGGUUUCGUGGAGCCGCCGUUGAAAUACGGCCCUUUGUGUGCCUGGUGUCUAACCCCUGUUAGGGGGACAUUGUUUGGCGGGUAGUUUGACUGGGGUGGUCGCCUCCAAAAGGAUAACGGAGGCUUCCAAAGGUUCCCUCAGCACGCCUGGUAACCGUGCGCGGAGUGCAAUAGCAUAAGGGGGCUUGACUGUGAGGCCGACAAGCCGAACAGGGACGAAAGUCGGGUAUAGUGAUCCGGCGGUACCGUAUGGAAGGGCCGUCGCUCAAAGGAUAAAAGGUACGCUGGGGAUAACAGGCUGAUCUCCCCCAAGAGCUCAUAUCGACGGGGAGGUUUGGCACCUCGAUGUCGGCUCGUCACAUCCUGGGGCUGGAGAAGGUCCCAAGGGUUGGGCUGUUCGCCCAUUAAAGUGGCACGCGAGCUGGGUUCAGAACGUCGUGAGACAGUUCGGUCCCUAUCUGUUGCGGGCGUGGGAAAUCUGCGGGGGGCUGACCUUAGUACGAGAGGACCGGGUUGGACCGACCGCUGGUGUACCGGUUGUGGUGCCAACUGCACCGCCGGGUAGCUAAGUCGGGAAGGGAUAAGCGCUGAAAGCAUCUAAGUGCGAAACUCGCCCCAAGAUGAGAUUUCCGUACAGGGCCGUCAGAGACGAUGACGUCGAUAGGCUGCAGGUGUAAAGCCGGCAACGGCAUAGCCGAGCAGUACUAAUUGCCCGAAAACUUGGAUGU
rfam:Lunatimonas lonarensis strain AK24 S14_contig_79, whole genome shotgun sequence.